GACGAACGCUGGCGGCGUGCUUAACACAUGCAAGUCGAACGAAGAGCGACGGAAGCUUGCUUCUAUCAAUCUUAGUGGCGAACGGGUGAGUAACGCGUAAUCAACCUGCCCUUCAGAGGGGGACAACAGUUGGAAACGACUGCUAAUACCGCAUACGAUCUAACCUCGGCAUCGAGGAUAGAUGAAAGGUGGCCUCUACAUGUAAGCUAUCACUGAAGGAGGGGAUUGCGUCUGAUUAGCUAGUUGGAGGGGUAACGGCCCACCAAGGCGAUGAUCAGUAGCCGGUCUGAUAGGAUGAACGGCCACAUUGGGACUGAGACACGGCCCAGACUCCUACGGGAGGCAGCAGUGGGGAAUCUUCCGCAAUGGACGAAAGUCUGACGGAGCAACGCCGCGUGAGUGAUGACGGCCUUCGGGUUGUAAAGCUCUGUUAAUCGGGACGAAAGGCCUUCUUGCGAAUAGUGAGAAGGAUUGACGGUACCGGAAUAGAAAGCCACGGCUAACUACGUG
rnacentral:rRNA from 1 species